CGGAAGUGAAGUGAAGACAGAGCUACCCGCGCCGAGUGGGUUCUGGUUGGGUGCGGAGCAGUCAGUCCGAGUUCACCUUGUCUCUAGAAGAAGAGAGGUUGCUGGUGACAAAAGUCAUGAUCUGUCUUCCCUUCUGAAAACACAGCCAGCUCCACGAGAUCACCAAGCACGUUUUAACACAUUCAUGCCUCGGAACCACAAUUCCUGAUUAGAGCCACAACAAGAAGAAGAAGGCAGCUGCUCCCCAUGAGGCUUUGCCAAAGGAGAGUGAAUGCAAGUUUGAAGGAAUAAAAAGGGAUUUGCUC